ACCACAUACAUACCUUCGUACAUUCGAAUACGUGUAUAUCUUGACCGCACCAAUGUCAAUUUCAAGGAGAAUCUCUAAGAAAAUUUUCAGGAAAUCAUUUGUAAACAUUUGAAGUGAAACGCAGUACACGCUGAUGGUUCAACGGAAAUAGUACCGCGUUGGAAAACGUUUUUCCAAUUUUCAAAAAAAAAA
rnacentral:sRNA from 1 species